CUCCUACGGGAGGCAGCAGUGGGGAAUAUUGGACAAUGGGCGCAAGCCUGAUCCAGCCAUGCCGCGUGAGUGAUGAAGGCCCUAGGGUUGUAAAGCUCUUUCACCGGAGAAGAUAAUGACGGUAUCCGGAGAAGAAGCCCCGGCUAACUUCGUGCCAGCAGCCGCGGUAAUACGAAGGGGGCUAGCGUUGUUCGGAAUUACUGGGCGUAAAGCGCACGUAGGCGGAUCGAUCAGUCAGGGGUGAAAUCCCAGGGCUCAACCCUGGAACUGCCUUUGAUACUGUCGAUCUGGAGUAUGGAAGAGGUGAGUGGAAUUCCGAGUGUAGAGGUGAAAUUCGUAGAUAUUCGGAGGAACACCAGUGGCGAAGGCGGCUCACUGGUCCAUUACUGACGCUGAGGUGCGAAAGCGUGGGGAGCAAACAGGAUUAGAAACCCUUGUAGUCC
rnacentral:rRNA from 1 species